rnacentral:rRNA from 1 species
AUUGAACGCUGGCGGCAGGCCUAACACAUGCAAGUCGAGCGGUAGCACAGAGAGCUUGCUCUCGGGUGACGAGCGGCGGACGGGUGAGUAACACGUGGGCAAUCUGCCCGAUACUCUGGGAUAACGCUUGGAAACGAGUGCUAAUACCGGAUGGUCUUCUUGGCCGCAUGGCCGAGAAGGAAAAGACGCGUUCGCGUCGGUGUCGGAUGAGCCCGCGGCGCAUUAGCUAGUUGGUGAGGUAACGGCCCACCAAGGCGACGAUGCGUAGCCGACCUGAGAGGGUGACCGGCCACACUGGGACUGAGACACGGCCCAGACUCCUACGGGAGGCAGCAGUAGGGAAUCUUCCACAAUGGGCGAAAGCCUGAUGGAGCAACGCCGCGUGAGUGAUGAAGGCCUUCGGGUUGUAAAACUCUGUCAUUCGGGACGAACCGGAGUCUGAGGAAAUGCAGACUCUCUGACGGUACCGGAGGAGGAAGCCCCGGCUAACUACGUGCCAGCAGCCGCCGUAAUAC